AAUUUGCCUCCAGUCGAAAGCAGCCCAAUAACUUAACUUUUGACUCGGGUCGAAAGCAUCCCAAUAACUUAACUUGCCUCGAGUCAAAAGCACCCCAAUAAAUUGAUACGACUCGAAUCAUCGAAAGCAGCCCAAUAACUUGACACGACUCCAGUCGAAAGCAGCCCAAUAACUUAACUUGACUCGAGUUAAAAGCACCCCAAUAAAUUGAACUGUCUGUACCAGUGUAGGUAGUACCAAUGUAGAAAUGCUGUGCUGAGUGGUUAUAUUACUACCUUAAAAAAUAAGCAGAAACUCAAAUAACUCAAAUAAGCAGAAGCUCAAUAACUUAACUUGACUCGAGUCGAAAGCACACCAAUAAUUUAACUUGACUCGAGUCGAAAGCACACCAAUAACUUAACUUGACUCGAGUCGAAAGCACCCCAAUAACAUAACUUGACUCGAGUCAAAAGCACCCCAAUAAAUUGAUACGACUCGAGUCGAAGAAAGCAGCCCAAUAACUUAAUUUGCCUCCAGUCGAAAGCAGCCCAAUAACUUAACUUUUGACUCGGGUCGAAAGCAUCCCAAUAACUUAACUUGCCU